UUAUUUAUAAUUUCCCCAAACUAGAAACAACUAAAGUGUCCUUCAGCAGACGAACGGCUCGACAAAUUGUGAUCCAUCUGACAAUGAAGGGAAUAUGCCUCAGCAUCGAAAAGGAAUGAACCACGGAUAGUCACAACAACAUGGAUGAAUCGCAAAUCACACAUCAGGCUGAGGGAAAGAAGCCAGACCCACAGGGCUACAUGCCGCACGAUUCCAUCUACGUGGCAUUGUUGCCGAAGCCAAACUGUAGUGACUGAGGAUGGAUCAGGGGUUGCCAGUGCCACGGGGUGAUGAAUACGUUCAGGGAGCUUGAUGGGGAUGAUGGUCACACAACCUGGUGACAAACAACUGGAUGGCAUGCUUUAAAAAGACCUCAGGAGCAGAGCCUGAUCCACCAACCAAUGAAUGGAUAAACAUGAUGUGGUCUGU